GUUACUCACAUAUAUGAGUCCGGAGUAGUAGCGGUCCUUCAGGUUGUGCAGCACGGAUGCCUCAUUCAGGCAGCCAGCUCCACCACAACCUCCUCACCGCGCUCCUCACGGAUACUGGCCCCCUCAAAACCAUGGCGCUCUGAGGGAACCCAAACCAGCUUCUUGGCUGUCCAGUCAGCCUGUGUUGCCGGGUUGUAAACCACGGCCCGAUCCACAAACAGAUUAUGCAACAAUGCUGACUCACCAGCCUGGCAAACCGCUGGGCCUCGCUGACCCUCUCCACCAACAUCAUCACCUCCUCCUCGUGGGUGGGGAAGGCAGGAAGUUUCUUUCCAAUCAGGCUUUCAAUUCUCUGGAAAAGCUCCACAUCAUACCUGAGCGGAAAAAAAAGGAAACGUACCACACUUGACGCCAAUGCUUGAACCGAGGGCCUCAAACUGCUCUGAGAUCUGAAAGGCCAACUCUCUGGUGGGAGUGAGGACGAGGGUAUGAAGCCUCUGGGGUAAGGCCAACAGUGACUGGAGGAUGGGCAGAGCAAAAGCACCAGUCUUUCCUGAACCGGUCUCAGCCAAGCCAAUGACAUCCUUUCCUUCACAGCAAGAAGAUGAUGAUAAAUAUAAAAUAUCAAUACGA